UACGUAGGGGGCAAGCGUUGUCCGGAAUCAUUGGGCGUAAAGCGCGUGUAGGCGGUUCGGUAAGUCUGCUGUGAAAGUCCAGGGCUCAACCCUGGGAUGCCGGUGGAUACUGUCGAGCUAGAGUACGGAAGAGGCGAGUGGAAUUCCCGGUGUAGCGGUGAAAUGCGCAGAUAUCGGGAGGAACACCUAUUGCGAAGGCAGCUCGCUGGGACGUCACUGACGCUGAGACGCGAAAGCGUGGGGAGCAAACAGG
rnacentral:rRNA from 1 species